GCAUAUCAAUAAGCGGAGGAAAAGAAACCAACAGGGAUUGCCCCAGUAACGGCGAAGUGAAGCGGCAACAGCUCAAAUUUGAAAUCUGGCUCUCGGGCCCGAGUUUGUAAUUUGUAGAGGAUGCUUUUGGUGAGGUGCCUUCCGAGUUCCCUGGAACGGGACGCCAUAGAGGGUGAGAGCCCCGUCUGGUUGGACACCGAUCCUCUGUAAAGCUCCUUCGACGAGUCGAGUAGUUUGGGAAUGCUGCUCUAAAUGGGAGGUAUAUGUCUUCUAAAGCUAAAUACCGGCCAGAGACCGAUAGCGCACAAGUAGAGUGAUCGAAAGAUGAAAAGAACUUUGAAAAGAGAGUUAAACAGUACGUGAAAUUGUUGAAAGGGAAGCGCUUGUGACCAGACUUGGGCUUGGUUGAUCAUCCGGGGUUCUCCCCGGUGCACUCUUCCGGCCCAGGCCAGCAUCAGUUCGCCCUGGGGGACAAAGGCUUCGGGAAUGUGGCUCUCUCCGGGGAGUGUUAUAGCCCGUUGCGUAAUACCCUGUGGCGGACUGAGGUUCGCGCAUUCGCAAGGAUGCUGGCGUAAUGGUCAUCAGUGACCCGUCUUGAAACACGGACCAAGGAGUCGUCUUCGUAUGCGAGUGUUCGGGUGUCAAACCCCUACGCGAAAUGAAAGUGAACGCAGGUGAGAGCUUCGGCGCAUCAUCGACCGAUCCUGAUGUUAUCGGAUGGAUUUGAGUAAGAGCAUACGGGGCCGGACCCGAAAGAAGGUGAACUAUGCCUGUGUAGGGUGAAGCCAGAGGAAACUCUGGUGGAGGCUCGCAGCGGUUCUGACGUGCAAAUCGAUUCGUUCAAACAAUGGGCAAUGGGGCGAAAGACUAAUCGAACCUUUCUAGUAGCUGGUUUCCGCCGAA
rnacentral:rRNA from 2 species